UGACGUUCUGCUUACUUUGCAUUUUUUAUUGCAAAAUCAAACGUCUCGCUAAGGCGGAUGGCAUACCCGGAGUUUCAUUUUGGCGGAAUUAUCUACAUCUUUACUUGAUCUACGACGCGUCCAUUCAAGAUGACGAGAAAGGUCCAACCAGUUGGGCAGACAGACGAAUAUGAUGGCGGAUUUUUGUUACACGAAUCCGACGAUUGUGCCGGGAGAGGAGUUAUCUCGUCGUGGAUUCUCAAUGUAUUGCGGGAGCGACAGUUUCAACGAGGAUUCUA